AUAUAUAUAUAUAUAUGUGUGUGUCUGGUUUUGCCUUCCUUUCAGAUGCUGAUAACCCGUCGUCUGUGACUCUCUGAUAGCCCUCCUGUUUCACCACUUGUUGACUGGUUUUCAUUCACUCAUCUGGACUUUUAAAUAUUUAUUUGAACUGUUCAUUUUCUUGUGUAUAUGGUUGAAUGCAGAUUUUCACUGUUUCACACAAUAACAUUAUUCACAUCUGCACUAAUAUUUGUUUUAAAUGUUCCUUUAGGAAGUUGGACCUCAACACGCUUUUCUGUAGCCAUCAACAAUUUCUAUCCCAAUACCAGCUUCAUGUUUAAUCACUAUUCUAAUCAGCAGAAUUAAAAUGAGAGUAUUUAAGGACUCAAAUUUUUGCAAAAUGUUUGGUACUUUGUAACCUAUUCUAAAACCAGUUUUGGUGUUCUUUGAGGAUGUCUGUCCUGUUUCUGCUGUUAAUCUUGAAAUCUGCAAGAAUUUUGAGAAUGUGGCUGUAAAAUAGUUCCCAGGCUUAUGUAGACAUUCUUAGAUCUUCAGUGAAUUUCUUUCACUUUUCAACUUUUCUGGCUAUUAGCCAAUCAAAUGUGUGCUCUCAAACAAGUUACUACAUCCUCAACUUGGUCAGGAUGGAAUAUAUUCUACGACCUUCAGCACCACUUAGUAAUACAUUUAUGUACAACUGUUUAAUGUACAUAAACAGUUCAGUUCUCACUUAAUGAGGAUUUUCACUGACUGAUUAAAGUCAGUUAAAAAAACUAAAAAGAGGAGGUCUUAUCAGCUGAUCCUGCACAGCUGAUUACACAGAGCAAAUUCAGGCAGGAGUUUAUUGUAAAUCACAUGCUUGACAGGAAAUGAAAGCAAAAUCAUCAGAGCCUCAGCUGUCUGAGUCUGCAGACAACAUCCAAGAUCGACAACGAUUUUAUGUUUUGUUUUCACAUCCAGCCAGGCCUUUGUGAGCCAUCAUCAGGAUCUUUGUAAAGGCUUGUGUUUGCUGAAACUUGUCACCGGUUCCCUUGUCAGACAUGGCAGCUGCUGGGCUCUCUGAGGAUCAGCCACUCUGCUGCAUCUGCCUGGAUGUGUUCUCCCAGCCGGUGGCUCUGCCGUGUCAGCACCACUUCUGCUGGACCUGCAUCACCAAACACUGGGACAACGCUGACAGAUGGCAGUGUCCCCUGUGUAACAGGGUUUUCACCAGCAGACCAGAGCUUCAGGUUAACACAGGAAUGUCUAAACUAAGUGAUCAGUUGGAGCUUCCAGCUCAGCAGGCUGCCUGCUGCAGCUUGGAACCACGACCUGAUGCAGGACAGGUUGUGUGUAGCGUCUGCUCCAAGGAGGCCCAGAUGUCCUGCCUGGUGUGUCUCAGCUCCUACUGCGAGACCCAUCAGGUUUUCCAUCAGAGGAUCCCAGGCCUGAGGAGACACACUCUGCUGGACCCUGUGGACGGACAGGAGGACAAAAUGUGCAACAAGUAUCAAAAAGCUUCAGAGAAGCUUAUGUGCCAUCGUGGCCUUUUUGUGUUGCUUGCAUGUUUUAUUUUAAUAAUUGCUGUUUGUUAUUUUGUAUUUAUUUAAUUUGGUUGUUUUUACUGAACUAUUUGGAUUCAUCUGGAUUUGUUGAUUAACUUCUUUUUUUUGCAUAUUUUUCUGUCCACCGUCCAGAAGCUCCCUGCCUCUCUGGAGACAGAAACUUGCCAUGAUGUUCGUCAUUCACUCCAAUUUUUAUCUUAUGGAAAACUGUUAGCCUCGCAAUUUUAUGGAAAGUGCUCUUUAAUUUAAUUUUUAGAAGGUUAAGUUUUGAUUCUGCUGAGCAGGUUAGACCACUAGAGGGCAGGAUGUUCUUGGGAAUUUUUUAAACUAUAAAUUAUGUAUAAUAUGAGUAGCCUUGCAAUUCUUUUACAUUUAUAAACUUAAACUAUUUUCUAGCUGGUUACUGGUAUGAUCUAGCACCUCACAGCAACAAGAGGCCAAAUCAGGAGAAGUAGUAUGUUACGUCUGCUCUGAAACCAAAUCAAAAUCUAGGAAGUGUGUGUACUUCAGGGACAAAAAAAAAAA